rnacentral:rRNA from 1 species
CACGUAGGGGCCAAGCGUUGUCCGGAUUUAUUGGGCGUAAAGAGCUCGUAGGCGGCUCGGUAAGUCGGGUGUGAAACCUCCAGGCUCAACCUGGAGACGCCACCCGAUACUGCUGUGGCUAGAGUCCGGUAGGGGAGCGUGGAAUUCCUGGUGUAGCGGUGAAAUGCGCAGAUAUCAGGAGGAACACCAGCGGCGAAGGCGGCGCUCUGGGCCGGCCCUGACACUGAGACGCGAAGGCGUGGGGAGCGAACGGG